rnacentral:rRNA from 1 species
CCUACGGGAGGCAGCAGUGAGGAAUAUUGGUCAAUGGACGAGAGUCUGAACCAGCCAAGUAGCGUGAAGGAUGACUGCCCUAUGGGUUGUAAACUUCUUUUAUAUGGGAAUAAAAUGUUCCACGUGUGGGAUUUUGUAUGUACCAUAUGAAUAAGGAUCGGCUAACUCCGUGCCAGCAGCCGCGGUAAUACGGAGGAUCCGAGCGUUAUCCGGAUUUAUUGGGUUUAAAGGGAGCGUAGGUGGAUUGUUAAGUCAGUUGUGAAAGUUUGCGGCUCAACCGUAAAAUUGCAGUUGAAGCUGGCAGUCUUGAGUACAGUAGAGGUGGGCGGAAUUCGUGGUGUAGCGGUGAAAUGCUUAGAUAUCACGAAGAACUCCGAUUGCGAAGGCAGUUCACUGGACUGCAACUGACACUGAGGCUCGAAAGUGUGGGUAUCAAACAGGAUUAGAUACCCGAGUAGUC